rnacentral:lncRNA from 1 species
GCUCUGUGAAGUCAGAGACUCCGAAUGUUUUCUUGCUUGCGGAAUCCCCAGCACUUGGCACACGGUACAGGCUCAGUAAAUGUGUACGUGUGCACGAUUGAAGCCUAGAGUGCGCCUGGGGAUGCCAUGUGAGUCUCACCUCUGCUCAGGGUGGCAUUCCCACUGCCCCUCCAGGGCCCAGAGACAAGCUCGGGGCAACGGCGAGCAGUCACCCCUUCCCCUGGGCCAUCUGCGCACACGGGAAACGUGCCAGGAAUAGCGCCUGCCUCUCCGUCUGUAGGUACUGCGGGGUCCUGUAUUCCCUACCCCUGCAAAGGCCUGCUGACGCUUUGCUGAGGUUAAGCCGUGGAGGUGUGACGCCCCUAAACCAGAGAGCAGCUGAGGGCAGCUGCACGUGAGGGGUUAAGGGCCUGUGUGGGUGUGCGUGAGGGCAGUAAAAGGCCAGAGCAAGGAUUCUGGGAGCUGCAUGGAAGGAGGUUCUGCUGGUGCGAGGAGAGAGCAGAACAGGAAGGGGAAAUGGCAAAUGGCCUAAGCAACGCUCUGCUCCCAGAUCGUUCACUCCCUCUGUCUCUGGGAGGCAACAAGGGAAUGAGGAAACACCACUGGGACUAUUCUUGCAUCGGUUGCCUUUGAUGGGUCCUUUCGGUGAACCUAUGGUGGUGCUUCUGGUGCAUCUCGCUGUCAUCAUGGCUGUAGGAGUCAGGGCUGGGGUUAAGAAUUUGUCUGGAAUUGGGUUUGCCAUUUUCCAGUUUGGGGGUCAGGCCUCUGGACAAAACCAGGGCUUAAAAUUUCACUGGCAAAUGGAAUUAAUGUACAAACUAACAACGUUGUGUUUAUCCAUCCAUCUAUCCUGUACUUACUGAGUUGGGCCUAGCACUGCACUAAAUGGAGAGAUCACAUGGAAGAGAGGAUGCAGCCAGAAACAGCCUGAGUUUUCUGCCCAAUAAGAGAACACUGGAGAAUAGCAUAUUAUUCAAAUCCAAACAGAACAAUUCCUUUUGUCAGGGCAGGAAUAGUGCAGAGAAAAUGGAGAUGGCCUGGUCAAGACAGAGGUCUCCUGAGGCAGAGGGAACUUUUUGAAGCUCCUCUUCCUUACCCAAACUGGUGAAAACGGUUUGCAAAAGGUAAUAUGAUCUUUUCUAACUUCCACAUUUCUGGACCCAGCUGAACCCUGGAAAACAAGCAUACCUAAGAAUAGAAAGAAAAGGUACAGGCAAGCAAGGACCCCCAAAGCUUGAAGUAUAAUUAGAGCUGGUGGAGAAUUAACGGGAGAGGAAAGAAGAGGGAACACGAAUGCCCCAGUGUCAUUUCUACAACUACCUGUAUGGGUGUUUGAUGAACAGUGUCAUACAGCAUCUUGGCCUUGCGUCUUCAUUUAUUCACUGCUCUCAAGUUAGAGCAGUUCUGUCCUCUAUGUUGCCAAGGCAUGUGUGAUUUUUGAGUGUUCAUGUGUGCCUGCAUGCAUGAUGUGUUGGGGUGGACGUCUGUGUGCUUGUUAAGGGAAUGAAGGGACAUCUACAGUGCAGGCG